AUUUCAAAGCAGCCGGCGUGGCCGGCCUUGAGGUUGCGGGCGCCUAGCAACCGAGAAACGCGCUUUUAUAUAUAUCUAUAUAUAUAUGUGUGUAGUUGCGCAAGCAAGGCUCGCGCGUGCGUAGGACGCGCAAAAUAGUCGGACAGUUCGCGCCAUUCUCGUAACGUGCCCAAACUUGCCUGCGAAACGCGAAAACACGUGGAGUGCGCGAAGCCGGUGGCCAGUGGGGAUGCUGCUUAGUUUCGUGUUUUUGUGUUCAUGUACGAGGAAGUGAACUGAUAGUCUAGCAUCCCAGUAACAUGACUGGCUCCACGGACGACGAGGCAGGGCCUAGUCGUCGCGGUCGUCGUGCGAGGCGAGGCGAAGCAGCGACAGGACAUCGUCGGCCGCGAAACUCUGCGAGCACGAAGAAAAAGAGCGAUGCUGACAAGAACAGCGCAAGGAAAAGCUCAAAGAAAUCGGCCAACGUGAAAAAGUCGACCGUCGGUUUGGUUAAUGCACCGCCAAAAAGGAAAGACAAUCUCGUGCAGUGCCUAAACAACAGUUUUCUGAGGGACAGAUCCAGCCACCAACAACUUGGCAAGAUGAAGAGGCAUCUGCUGGCUCGGGAAGUGCUGGGCUUCUCACUUGCCAGUUUACCCGUGCCAAUGUUCACGGAGUCAGCUCGAGUGACAUGCCUCCAGUGGCACCCAACUCGUCCAAACCUCCUCGCAGUAGGAUCCAAGAAUGGCGAGAUUGUUCUGUGGAAUGCCUGGGACACCAAAAAGAAUGCUUCCACACCACCGACGGGCAGCGGCUCGGCUGUGGCAGCCAUCAAGUUCCAUCCUGAGAAUGCUACACAGGUAUACACUGCCACACUGCUCAGUCGAGUAAUGCUGCAGGACUUUGGAGGAGCGGAGCCACAGGUGUUUUGGGACACCGAGUCCGAGAGGGUGUGGUUUACUGCCUUAGAUGUUUUGCAUGAGAGAAAGAUGGUAUUAGCUGGAGACAACAUGGGCAGCGUGUAUGCAUUCAGCACUACCGGCGAGUUGAUGUGGCCUCAGCCUCGCCGUCUCCAUAAGGGCAAGGUGAAGUACCUGGAGUUUGUCGGCCAAGGCUCGGAUCUGCUGAUAUCUGCAUCUGUGGACCAUACUGUUCGCAUCUGGGAUGUGCGCAAGCUGGGAGGCCCCGAUGACUUUCUCAUAGCACUGCCCCACACGCAGGGAGUGAACUCUGCGUAUGUGAGCCCAUCGGACCGGAGCUCGCUGCUUACCACAGACCAAAAAAAUGAGCUGCGUGUAUAUCGAGGCCCUGCUUGGCAAGAGCCACUGGUAAUACCACAUCCACAUCGACAGUUCCAACACCUUACACCAAUCCAGGCCAGUUGGCAUCCCUUGGAGAAUCUCAUUGUGGUGGGACGUUAUCCAGACAAAAACUUCAACGCCAAUGACACUGUGCGCGGCAUCGAUGUCUUUGAUGGCAGCACAGGAGAAUCCCUAGGGAAAGUGCAAGGGUCCCUGGAUGUGUCAGGCAUUUGUUCGCUUACUGCUUUCAGUUGCUCGGGGGAAGUUUUGGCCGCUGGUACAGGUUUCCACACAGUGAUCUUCCAAGCAACAUCCGAGGAGUGAACAUCUCUUGCGCAAAAAUCCACCUCAGGGAUAUUUUAUCAAUUUUAAGCCAUCCCUUUAAAGUCUACAAUUUUAACAAUCUGUGCCGCUAAGUUGAUGGAAUGAUGCAUCUUCAACGACCUUUGUGCUAACGUGAUCGACUGCGUGCUUGACAUUGUAGACAAGGAGAAAUGAUGGAAAGUUAUUGACAGCCAAGAUUACUGCACCAUUGUUUCAAAAAGGUAGAGCCACGCCGUGCAGCGAGACAUUCCUCACAAUUUUCACUACACCAGCAAUUCAUUCUGGUACUGCCCUCGGAUCGUGCACCAAAACAUGGACAUAGAACUGCCAGCAGCAUUGACACAUAUUAGCAGUUGCUUUACCACUGGGGCAGUACACUACCUGGCUGGCAAGAGAGGUAUCAGACUACCAAGUGUUGGCUGUUGAAGAAAUCAUUGGGAUUCUAGUUUUCUGGAGGAUGCAUGCCCAUGACUAGCUCGUUCUUUUACAUUAUGCACUGAGUCUACUGGAUUUUCCUGUAUCAAAUGCGAAAGUUGAAAGGUUUUUUUUUAUGUUUCAUUACGUAAAUCCAAAACAGUGCACUGUAAUGGCCAAUUCUAACAUUGGUAAAUUGUGCAUGCAUAAAUUACAAGAACUUGUAAUGGCAAUAAGUUUCUGCUAUUGUAAAUGUCAACUAUAAAUAAAACAGAUUUAUGCAGUUAAACUGCUUUUAUUUAUCUUUAAUUAUUUAAUCAAUCCUAAACUAAAAGGUGAAUAAUGCUAAAAAGGUAAAAGAACUCCAAAUUUUACUGCACCUUAAAAAUAAAAUGCUUCAAUAAACUUCCAAUUUUUGUGGAAAAUUUUAACUUCACACAUGCAAAACUCCAGUGACAACCUACAGGAAUGUAAAUGCCAUCAUAUUAGAUUAAAGUUACAUGCAAAUAUCUGAAGAUCAGG